GGCUCAGAAGUAUGGAGGACACAUAGGAUAGAUGUUCUUCAUAGCAAAUCUUUUCCUUUUAUGAUUCCUUGAGUAUCCUUAUUUGAAUCAGGGGCUUUUAACCUGGGGGCCAUUUCUGAUCAUUUGAUACCUGUAUUUCAGUGGAAUUAGUUCUGUUAUAAUCCUGAAUAGUUUAUUUUGUUAAUUAAAUGCCAUUUCUCUGAGAAAGGGUUCACAGAAUUCACCAGACUGUGAAAGGAAAUCCAGGAACAAAAAACAGUCCAAAAAUCCUACUUAGUCUAAGUUGAAAGCUAAUGGACAAGUGAACCAGGAUGGAGGCAUCACAAGAUUAAAAAACCACUGACCUCCCAGAGUUGUGAAGAUCAAACAAGAAAAUAUUUAUAAAAUGCUUAGUAAAAUGCCGGAUAUACAGAUGAGGAAUGGAAGGAGAUGGACCAUCUUUUGUCUUAAUUUGAACAGAACAGCUGAUUUGAGCAAGUCUGCAUCAGAAGAUGAAGCCCAGAGAGAGUCAGACGUCUUUUUCUAGCAGUUGAUUCAGACAUUUAUCUACAAAACAUCCCUUUGCAAAUGUGGCAGGACGAUUGGGUGGACGUGCAGAGGAAGCCUCUUCUCAUCCCACCCAAGAGAGGGUUGUAACCCUCUGCCUGAGCCCCGACUCACGAAGAAUCUGCCUUCCACGCACACGUCCCACGCGGGCAGGUCUCUAUGAUCGAAAGGGAUCACGCGCCGCCCUGUAAAUCCCGCAGGUUUAUGCAUUACGCCAUGAUCGGCUAAUAAAAACCAAAUGCAAUCAAUUCACACGUGAUUCCUUUCUAUUUUGAACCCUUUUUAAAUGGAAAUUUAAAAAGUCGUGUUAGAUAGUUCCUUUGCACUCCACAGAAACGUCUCUAUUCGUCAUGCGAAACGUCAUGCAAACACAGGCAUGUCAGGGCAAACCCAGAGGUCCAACACGAGGCAGACACCGGCGGCCGUCCGGGGGGAGAUGGAAUGGGAGCGCAGGACGGACAGGCCCGGGGUGGACGCGAAAUGAGCAGCUCUCUAAACCCCAGGAUGGUGGGGAAGCAGCGGCCACUGGCAUUCCUGUUCUCCAGACUGGCCCAGGAAGGC